rnacentral:rRNA from 1 species
CCUACGGGGGGCAGCAGUGAGGAAUAUUGGUCAAUGGACGAGAGCCUGAACCAGCCAAGUAGCGUGAAGGAUGACUGCCCUAUGGGUUGUAAACUUCUUUUAUAUGGGAAUAAAAUGUUCCACGUGUGGGAGUUUGUAUGUACCACAUGAAUAAGGAUCGGCUAACUCCGUGCCAGCAGCCGCGGUAAUACGGAGGAACCGAGCGGUAACCGGAUUUAUUGGGGUUAAAGGGAGCGUAGGUGGGUUGUUAAGUCAGUUGUGAAAGUUUGCGGCUCAACCGUAAAAGUGCAGUUGAAACUGGCAGUCUCGAGUACAGUAGAGGUAUGCGGAAUUCGUGGUGUAGCGGUGAAAUGCUUAGAUAUCGCGAAGAACUCCGAUUGCGAAGGCAGCUCGCUGG